rnacentral:tRNA from 1 species
CGGGGCGUAGCUCAGCCUGGUAGAGUGCUUGCUUUGGGAGCAAGAUGUCGAAGGUUCGAAUCCUUUCGCCCCGACCA